AUGGCGGAGCUCGGCCCGUUCCGUGUGAACCGCGACGGGAAGACGCUGAGCAGAAACAGGCAUGCAUGGAACAAUCUUGCGAAUGUGAUCUUCCUAGAGUCACCGGCGGGCGUCGGGUUCUCCUACUCGAACGCGUCGGUGCCGAGCGGCGACAGGAGGACCGCGGUGGACGCCUACAUGUUCCUGCUCAACUGGCUCGAGAGGUUCCCCGAGUACAAGGGCCGCGACUUCUACAUCGCCGGCGAGAGUUACAGCGGGCACUACGUUCCCCAGCUCGCCGCCGUCAUCGUCGCCCUCCGCGAACUCGGUGACACGAGCAUGAACCUCAAGGGCAUCUUCGUCGGCAAUCCGCUCCUCGAUAGUAGGUCCAAUAACACAUAUGGAUCAUUAGAGUUCCUGUGGAACCACGGGGUGAUCUCCGACGAGGUGUGGGGCAAUAUCAACGGGCAGUGCAGCUCCGGGCAGUUCGAGGGCAAAGCGUGCGACGACUCAUUCGAUGAGGGCGACAUCGAUAGGUACAACAUUUACGCCCCGGUCUGCAUCCAGUCGCCAGACGGGAGUCUCCACCCCAGUGGCUACUUACCAGGCUAUGAUCCGUGCAUCGGGUCCUAUAUCGACGCCUACCUCAACAGUCCUAAGGUGCAGAAGGCUAUGCAUGUUCGAACCCACACAGAGUGGUCAGAGUGCUCAGAGUCGUUGCCCGGCUGGACCGAUUCCCCGGUUUCCAUGAUGCCAACCAUCGGUUGGCUUGUCGACAGCGGAUUAAGAGUCUGGAUCUACAGUGGUGACAUGGAUGAUGCGUGCCCGAUUACCGCAACGAGGUACGCUAUCAAGGAUCUCAAUCUGACCAUCACAAAACCGUGGCGUCCAUGGUACACCCCUGACAACGAGGUUGGAGGCUACGCUCAGCAAUACGAGGGAGGGUUCACGUUCGCGUCGGUACGAGGAGCUGGCCAUAUGGUCCCUAGCUUCCAGCCCAAGAGAUCACUCGUUCUUUUGUACUCCUUCAUGAAAGGAGUCCUGCCACCUGGUGCUCUGCCACCUGGGUUUUCAAAAUGGAGCUGGGUCUAA
rnacentral:rRNA from 1 species